CACGUAGGGCGCAAGCGUUUGUCCGGAAUUAUUGGGCGUAAAGAGCGUGUAGGCGGCUGGGUAGGUCCGUUGUGAAAACUCGGAGCUCAACCUCGAGACGCCGAUGGAAACCCUCCAGCUAGAGUCCGGAAGAGGAGAGUGGAAUUCCUGGUGUAGCGGUGAAAUGCGCAGAUAUCAGGAAGAACACCCGUGGCUAAGGCGGCUCUCUAGUACGGUACUGACGCUGAGACGCGAAAGCGUGGGGAGCGAACAGG
rnacentral:rRNA from 1 species